rnacentral:rRNA from 1 species
GUGGGGAAUAUUGGACAAUGGGCGAAAGCCUGAUCCAGCCAUGCCGCGUGAGUGAUGAAGGCCUUAGGGUUGUAAAGCUCUUUCGCCGAGGACGAUAAUGACGGUACUCGGAUAAGAAGCCCCGGCUAACUUCGUGUCAGCAGCCGCGGUAAUACGAAGGGGGCUAGCGUUGUUCGGAAUUACUGGGCGUAAAGCGUAUGUAGGCGGGUCGUUAAGUUAGGGGUGAAAUCCCAAGGCUCAACCUUGGAACUGCCCUUGAUACUGGCGAUCUUGAGUCCGGGAGAGGUGAGUGGAACUGCGAGUGUAGAGGUGAAAUUCGUAGAUAUUCGCAAGAACACCAGUGGCGAAGGCGGCUCACUGGCCCGGUACUGACGCUGAGAUACGAAAGCGUGGGGAGCAAACAGGAUUAGAUACCCCUGUAGUCC